rnacentral:rRNA from 1 species
AGUGAACGCUGGCGGUAGGCCUAACACAUGCAAGUCGAACGGCAACACAGUAAGAUCUUGCUCUUACGGGUGGCGAGUGGCGGACGGGUGAGGCAUAGAUCGGCAUCUUCUUUUUCGGGGGGGAUAACGUAGGGAAGCUGACGCUAAUACCGCAUACGUCCUACGGGUUAAAGCAGUGGAUAUUGGCACCUUGCCUGUUUGAUUUAGCCGGUGCCGGAUUAGCUAGUUGGCGUGGUAAAGGCCCACCUAGGCGACGAUCCGUAGCUGGCCUGAGAGGAUGAUCAGCCACACUGGAACUGAGACACGGUCCAGACUCCUACGGGAGGCAGCAGUGGGGAAUAUUGGACAAUGGGCGCAAGCCUGAUGCAGCCAUACCGCGUGGGUGAAGAAGGCCUUCGGGUUGUAAAGCCCUUUUGUUGGGAAAGAAAAGCAGCAGGUUAAUACCCCGCUGUUCUGACGGUACCCAAAGAAUAAGCACCGGCUAACUUCGUG